rnacentral:rRNA from 1 species
UACGUAGGUGGCAAGCGUUGUCCGGAUUUACUGGGCGUAAAGGGAGUGUAGGUGGAUGCUUAAGUCAGAUGUGAAAUACCCGGGCUCAACUUGGGUGCUGCAUUUGAAACUGGGCGUCUAGAGUGCAGGAGAGGAAAGCGGAAUUCCUAGUGUAGCGGUGAAAUGCGUAGAGAUUAGGAAGAACACCAGUGGCGAAGGCGGCUUCUGGACUGUAACGUGAC